rnacentral:rRNA from 1 species
AACGCGUUGGCCCAACUGAUUGAACGUGCUUGCACGGACUUGACGUUGGUUUACCAGCGAGUGGCGGACGGGUGAGUAACACGUAGGUAACCUGCCCCAAAGCGGGGGAUAACAUUUGGAAACAGAUGCUAAUACCGCAUAACAAUUUGAAUCGCAUGAUUCAAAUUUAAAAGAUGGUUUCGGCUAUCACUUUGGGAUGGACCUGCGGCGCAUUAGCUUGUUGGUAGGGUAACGGCCUACCAAGGCUGUGAUGCGUAGCCGAGUUGAGAGACUGAUCGGCCACAAUGGAACUGAGACACGGUCCAUACUCCUACGGGAGGCAGCAGUAGGGAAUCUUCCACAAUGGGCGCAAGCCUGAUGGAGCAACACCGCGUGAGUGAAGAAGGGUUUCGGCUCGUAAAGCUCUGUUGUUAGAGAAGAACGUGCGUGAGAGCAACUGUUCACGCAGUGACGGUAUCUAACCAGAAAGUCACGGCUAACUACGUGCCAGCAGCCGCGGUAAUACGUAGGUGGCAAGCGUUAUCCGGAUUUAUUGGGCGUAAAGCGAGCGCAGGCGGUUUGAUAAGUCUGAUGUGAAAGCCUUUGGCUUAACCAAAGAAGUGCAUCGGAAACUGUCAGACUUGAGUGCAGAAGAGGACAGUGGAACUCCAUGUGUAGCGGUGGAAUGCGUAGAUAUAUGGAAGAACACCAGUGGCGAAGGCGGC